rnacentral:rRNA from 7 species
AAGACCUCAGAUCAGACGAGACUACCCGCUGAACUUAAG